AUGCGAUAAGUAAUGUGAAUUGCAGAAUUCAGUGAAUCAUCGAAUCUUUGAACGCACCUUGCGCCCUUUGGUAUUCCAAUGGGCAUGCCUGUUUGAGUAUCAUGAACACCUCAACCCUCUAUGGUUUUUCCAUCAGGGCUUGGACUCUGGAGGUUUGCAGGCCCACGGCCGGCUCCUCUCAAAUGCAUCAGCUUGCCAGUAUUAGGCGAUGUCACAGGUGUGAUAACUAUCUACGCUUGUUCUCAUCUGUCUGGUAACCUUCAGCGAUGGAGGUUUGCUGGGGCUCACAAAAGUCUCCCGGUGGGGACAGCUUCAUGAACAUUUGAUCUCAAAUCAGGUAGGACUACCCGCUGAACUUAA
rnacentral:rRNA from 1 species